AUGAAGAUUCUCUACGGUUUUCUGGUAGCUGAUAUUGUGGCGGAGCAGAUGCUACCUGGCGGUGGUGUGGCAUCUGCGGAGGAGCUGAGGGAGCAUAUUGUUGUUGAUAUGGUGGCAAUUGUGUCUCUGGAUUUGAUAGUGGUGCUGGUGGUGGCCUUUGCUGAUAUCCACCAGCACCACCUCCUCCAUCGUCUCCUCCUCCUCCUCCUCCUGGUCUUCUCACAUUCUUCACCAAUUGCAAAAUAACAAACGAGAAUUUGAAAAGGAGAGAAAUUCAGAUGAAAUUCGAAUUUCACAACAACUAAACAUUCAUCAUCUGAAGAAGAAGAAAAGAGAUUGGAUAGAGAUGAAUACCGAGCGUGCUCGAGAUGGGAGGGAAAUCAGGUGGUGAAGAAUCUCGAACACCAUGGAUUGACCUUUAUCUGCGAAAUUCUUGAGGUAGAAAGUGAAAACAUCUAUGGAUUUGUUCAUUAUGAUGCCUAAUCGUCUCUCGAUGUCGGUUUCGUGUUGUGCCAUGAAAGGCCUCAGUAGCG
rnacentral:lncRNA from 1 species